rnacentral:rRNA from 1 species
GAUGAACGCUAGCUACAGGCUUAACACAUGCAAGUCGAGGGGCAGCGGGUUGAAAGCUUGCUUUCAAUGCCGGCGACCGGCGCACGGGUGCGUAACGCGUAUCAAACCUGCCUCAUACUCGGGGAUAGCCUUGCGAAAGUAAGAUUAAUACCCGAUGUUAUUAGUUCAUCGCAUGGUGGGCUAAUCAAAGAUUUAUCGGUAUGAGAUGGUGAUGCGUCCGAUUAGGUAGUAGGCGGGGUAACGGCCCACCUAGCCUUCGAUCGGUAGGGGUUCUGAGAGGAAGGUCCCCCACACUGGAACUGAGACACGGUCCAGACUCCUACGGGAGGCAGCAGUGAGGAAUAUUGGUCAAUGGACGGAAGUCUGAACCAGCCAAGUAGCGUGCAGGAUGACGGCCCUCCGGGUUGUAAACUGCUUUUAGUUGGGAAUAAAAAAAGGGACGUGUCCCUUAUUGUAUGUACCUUCAGAAAAAGGACCGGCUAAUUCCGUGCCAGCAGCCGCGGUAAUACGGAAGGUCCAGGCGUUAUCCGGAUUUAUUGGGUUUAAAGGGAGCGUAGGCGGAUUGUUAAGUCAGCGGUUAAAGGGUGUGGCUCAACCAUACAUUGCCGUUGAAACUGGCGAUCUUGAGUGCAGACAGGGAUGCCGGAAUUCGUGGUGUAGCGGUGAAAUGCUUAGAUAUCACGAAGAACUCCGAUCGCGAAGGCAGGUGUCCGGGCUGCAACUGACGCUGAGGCUCGAAAGUGUGGGUAUCAAACAGG